rnacentral:rRNA from 1 species
ACUGUGAAACUGCGAAUGGCUCAUUAAAUCAGUUAUCGUUUAUUUGAUAGUACCUUACUACUUGGAUAACCGUGGUAAUUCUAGAGCUAAUACAUGCUAAAAACCCCGACUUCGGAAGGGGUGUAUUUAUUAGAUAAAAAACCAAUGCCCUUCGGGGCUCCUUGGUGAAUCAUGAUAACUUAACGAAUCGCAUGGCCUUGCGCCGGCGAUGGUUCAUUCAAAUUUCUGCCCUAUCAACUUUCGAUUGUAGGAUAGUGGCCUACAAUGGUUUCAACGGGUAACGGGGAAUUAGGGUUCUAUUCCGGAGAGGGAGCCUGAGAAACGGCUACCACAUCCAAGGAAGGCAGCAGGCGCGCAAAUUACCCAAUCCCGAUACGGGGAGGUAGUGACAAUAAAUACUGAUACAGGGCUCUUUUGGGUCUUGUAAUUGGAAUGAGUACAAUUUAAAUACCUUAACGAGGAACAAUUGGAGGGCAAGUCUGGUGCCAGCAGCCGCGGUAAUUCCAGCUCCAAUAGCGUAUAUUAAAGUUGUUGCAGUUAAAAAGCUCGUAGUUGAACCUUGGGCCUGGCUGGCCGGUCUGCCUCACCGCAUGUACUGGUUUCGGCCGGGUCUUUCCCUCCUGGGG